rnacentral:tRNA from 1 species
UGCGGAGUGGAGAAGUGGCUGUCUCGCCGGUCUCAUAAGCCGGAGUUAGGUGUGGUUCGAAUCCCUCCUCCGCAACCA